GGAAUUUCCAUGUGUAGCGGUGAAAUGCGCAGAGAUAUGGAGGAACACCAGUGGCGAAGGCGACUUUCUGGUCUGUAACUGACGCUGAUGUGCGAAAGCGUGGGGAUCAAACAGGAUUAGAUACCCUGGUAGUUCACGCCGUAAACGAUGAGUGCUAAGUGUUAGGGGGUUUCCGCCCCUUAGUGCUGCAGCUAACGCAUUAAGCACUCCGCCUGGGGAGUACGACCGCAAGGUUGAAACUCAAAGGAAUUGACGGGGACCCGCACCAGCGGUGGAGCAUGUGGUUUAAUUUGAAGCAACGCGAAGAACCUUACCAAAUCUUGACAUCCUUUGAAAACUCUAGAGAUAGAGCCUUCCCCUUCGGGGGACAAAGUGACCGGUGGUGCAUGGUUGUCGUCAGCUCGUGUCGUGAGAUGUUGGGUUAAGUCCCGCAACGAGCGCAACCCUUAAGCUUAGUUGCCAUCCUUAAGUUGGGCACUUUAGGUUGACUGCCGGUGACAAACCGGAGGAAGGUGGGGAUGACGUCAAAUCCUCAUGCCCCUUAUGAUUUGGGCUACACACGUGCUACAAUGGACAAUACAAAGGGCAGGUAAACCGCGAGGUCCUGCAAAUCCCAUAAAGUUGUUUUCAGUUCGGAUUGUAGUUUGCAACUUGACUACAUGAAGCUGGAAUCGCUUGUAAUUGUAGAUCAGCCUGGUACGGUGAAUACGUUCCCGGGU
rnacentral:rRNA from 1 species